rnacentral:rRNA from 1 species
UAUGGAGGGAGCUAGCGUUGUCCGGAAUUACUGGGCGUAAAGCGCACGUAGGCGGCUACUCAAGUCAGAGGUGAAAGCCCAGGGCUCAACCUUGGAACUGCCUUUGAAACUAGGUAGCUAGAAUUCUGGAGAGGUCAGUGGAAUUCCGAGUGUAGAGGUGAAAUUCGUAGAUAUUCGGAAGAACACCAGUGGCGAAGGCGACUGACUGGACAGAUAUUGACGCUGAGGUGCGAAAGCGUGGGGAGCAAACAGG